UGCUUGGUGACAGCUGGCUCUGCUGGGGUGGGCCCAGCACUCAGGCCAUUCUUCAGAAGCCAGCACCUGGCUCAGAGCACCCUGGCCCUGGUAUCACACACACUGUGCCAGGUUCUUGAUGUGAGGACACAGGGCAGGUGAUGAGUGGGGACCCCAGAGACAGUGAAGGAAGUUCCCUGGCCAGGAAGGAGUUCUUGAGACACUGUCAGGCUCAUCAGGCCCUUCUGUGGCUGCCCGGCUCCCCCAACCAGAUUUCCUGUUCAGACCGAGGUGAUGGUUGGUCAUAAGAAGCCGACCUACACUUCUGCUGGCCCCAUGAGAAAGGACGAAGCAACACAUGCACACUGGACUGGGAGCCACCCCGGGCAGAUUUAUCUGUGCCACGAGGGAAGUGUCUUCUGCCCCAGGGGCAUGGGCCAAAGGCAGAACUAACUGCCUGAAGUCUUUGCUCUCAGGAUGCAGCUGGAGACAGCCCAAGACGGCAAGAUGUGGCUCGGAGUGCUGCUGGCACUUAUGCUUUGUCCAGGCCUUGAAGGACAAGAAAACCCCUUCACCAUCAACUACAUCCACAUGAAUAUCCUGCCAGGACUGGAGGUGCAAAAUGGGGAGAACCUGACCCUGCAGUGCGUCGUUGACAUCAGCACCACCUCCCAUGUCAAGCCUCAGCACUGGGUGCUGUUCUAUAAGGAUGAUGUGCUGUUUCACAACGUCUCCUCCAUGAAGAACACGGAGAGUUAUUUUAUUCCCCAAGCCCGGGUCUAUGAUGCAGGGACAUAUAAAUGCACCGUGAUUCUGAACAACAAGGAGAAAACCACAUCGGAGUACCAGGUGUGGGUGAAAGGAGUGUCCAAUCCCAGAGUGACACUGGACAAGAAAGAGGCAAUAGAAGGUGGGGUCGUGACGGUCAAUUGUUCUGUCCCAGAGGAAAAUCCCCCAAUAUACUUCACAAUUGAAAAACUCAAGCUAGAUGCAAAAGGUUUCAAGCAAAAAAGAGAAAAAGUUUCUCAGAACCAGAAUUUUAUGGUGAUGGAAUUCACAGUGGAGGAACAGGACCACGUCAUACUUUUCCAAUGUCAAGCCAGGAUCUUUUCUGGGACCAAUGUGGAGAUCUCUAAAGCCAUCAGGAGUGAACUGGUCACCGUGACGGAAUCCUUCUCUAAUCCCAGAUUCCACAUCAGCCCCAAGGGAGUGAUCACAGAAGGAGAUCAGCUCAACAUUAAGUGCACCAUUCAAGUGACACACCUGGUGCAGUCAUUUCCAGAAAUCAUAAUCCAGAAGGACAAGGCGAUUGUAGCACACAAGACGCAUGGCAAUGAGGCCACCUACUCAGUGAUGGCCAUGGUGGAGCAUAAUGGCAACUACACGUGCAAAGUGGAAGCCAGCCGGAUAUCCAAGGUCAGCAGCAUCGUGGUCAACAUAACAGAGCUGUUUUCUAAGCCGAAGCUGGAAUCUUCCACCACCCGCCUGGAUCACGGUGAAAGCCUGAACCUGUGGUGCUCCAUUCCAGGAGCACCUCCAGCCAACUUUACCAUCCAGAAGGAAAACACGAUUGUGUCACUGUCUCAAAAUUUCACCAAGAUAGCCUCAGAGAGGGACAGAGGGACAUACACCUGCAAUGCAGGCAUUGGCAAGGUGGUCAAGAAAAGCAAUGCAGUCCAGAUAACUGUGUGUGAAAUGCUCUCCAAGCCCAGGAUUUUUUAUGACUCCGGCCCUGAGGUGAUAAAAGGACAGACCAUAGCAGUCAGUUGCCAGUCUGUAAAUGGAACCGCACCUAUUAGCUAUCACCUUGUGAAAGCAAAUAGCAUUUUGGAGAGUUGUAACAUGGACUCCAAUGAGCCUGCAGUAUUCAAAGACAAGCCAACAAAAGAUGUAGAAUACCAAUGUAUCGCAGAUAAUUGUCAUUCCCAUACUGAAAUGAUCAGUGAAGUUCUGCGGGUCAAGGUGAUAGCCCCCGUGGAUGAGGUCAAGCUCACUAUCCUGCUGAAUGAAGAGGUGGAGUCUGGGAAGGAGGUUGUGCUUCGGUGCUCCGUGAAUGAUGCCUCUGGUCCCAUCACCUACAGGUUUUACAGAGAGAAGGAGGGCAGUCCCUUCUACCAGAUCAUCUCAAAUGAUACCUACGCCAUGUGGCACAAGGAGAAGGCUAGCAAGGAACAUGAGGGACAAUAUUACUGCACAGCCUUCAACAGAGCCAACCUUGUUAAAAGCAAUCCCCAAAGCAACAUACUGACAGUCAGAGUCUUUCUUGCCCCAUGGAAGAAAGGACUUAUUGCCGUGGUUGUCAUCGGAGUGAUAAUUGCCACCUUGAUACUUGGAGCCAGAUGCUGUUUUCUGAAGAAAGCCAAGGCCAAGCAGACGCCAGUGGAGAUGGCCAGGCCAGCAGCGCCACUUCUGAACUCCAGCAAUGAGAAGAUGUUGUCAGAUCCCGAUACCGAAGCCAACAGACAUUACGGUUACAGUGAAGAUGUUGGAAACCAUGCAAUGAAACCAGCAAAUGAAAAUAAAGAGCCUCUGACCAUGGACGUGGAAUACACAGAGGUGCAAGUGACCCCAUCUGAGCCUUACCAAGAGAAAAACAGGAGCCAAAAUAAAGCACCAUCCGGAAACAUCCCUGACAGCAGAGACAAACAGCCUGCUGGCCUGGGUCUGGAAACCAAGGGCACAGAGACGGUGUAUAGUGAAAUCCGGAAAACUAAUCCUGAUUUCGUGGAAAACAGAUAUUCUGCAGACAGAUAAUGUGAAAGAGAACACCUUGUACUUAAAAGAAAGGGGUGAAUCUGGACCUUCGUGGGUCUCGGGAUCUUGGAGACAGCCUUGUCUUCUUACGGAAAAAAAGGAAGUUCCCAGUUACAGCUCACCCCCUUCCCUCCUGGGAGCCAGCAGUGGGAACUGGAGUCUGAGCUUCAGCUCUCUGGCCAUCUUUUGGGUGAUCCUGCCCUCCUCCAACUAAGCUUUCCAAUUCGUGAAACAGAGAUGAGAACGGAAGGCUCCCUUGAUGGAACUUAGGGCGGCGAGGACAGAUGUUCCUCCUUGGAAGGACACCCAUGUUCCAAGAAGAGGAGAUCAUUCCUGUAUUCCAAGAGCUCUGUGCAUUUAUUUAUGAACCUGCCCUGCUCCCACUGAACAGAGCAAUUCCUCAGGCCAAGUCACCAGUUCUGAAAUCCAUCUGCCUACAUUUAUGGGGGGUAUAAAGAGAUACGGAGGGGCUGGUUAAGUCCCCCCACAGCGCCCCCCUCUCACCAAGCUGGGGCAUCCUCAGGAGUGGGGAGCCGCAGAAGGAGGUUCAGGGUUAAACGGCCAUUGGGAUAUUUUGAAACUUGAAUAUUUUUGUCUUGCACGGAGAUCAAGAACUUGUCCAAGUAUCUUCACACACAGAAACCAUUUUUUUGUUUUGUAGCCAAUCGCUUCUAGCGAAUGGCUGGGCUGAGGGGCUAUUUCUCUCUCUCUCUCUCUCUCUCUCUCUCUCUUUGCCUUUGGUCCUUCAAAGGCCUGUGGUUCUGGGUGGUCCUUGUUCCUCGGAAGUGAACAGCACUGACCAGACAGCGCCCCCUGUUCCCUCCACGACCUCGCCUGCCACAAAUGUCACAACAAAGCUGCUUGGGAGCGACCCCUUUGAGAUGCCAACCUGAAGAUCAGGUUCAUUCGGGGCAAUGCACAGAAGAGAAAAUGAAGUCGGACAGAGCACAGAUGUUCUUAUGCUGUUUUUCUAUACCCUUUCUUUCUUUUCCUUUACCAUGCUGCAGGCUGCAAGAUGGGAAGAUGUUUGCCUACAGCAACUAUUGUUUUUAAUAGAAAAAUGAAAUGCGUAUUUUUCUUA